rnacentral:rRNA from 1 species
AGGUGGGAGGCUUUGAAGCGUGGACGCCAGUCUGCGUGGAGCCAACCUUGAAAUACCACCCUUUAAUGUUUGAUGUUCUAACGUUGGCCCCUUACCGGGUUGCGGACAGUGUCUGGUGGGUAGUUUGACUGGGCGGUCUCCUCCCAAAGCGUAACGGAGGAGCACGAAGGUUAGCUAAUCCUGGUCGGACAUCAGGAGGUUAGUGCAAUGGCAUAAGCUAGCUUGACUGCGAGCGUGACGGCGCGAGCAGGUGCGAAAGCAGGUCAUAGUGAUCCGGUGGUUCUGAAUGGAAGGGCCAUCGCUCAACGGAUAAAAGGUACUCCGGGGAUAACAGGCUGAUACCGCCCAAGAGUUCAUAUCGACGGCG